rnacentral:rRNA from 1 species
UACGUAGGGUGCUAGCGUUGUCCGGAUUUAUUGGGCGUAAAGAGCCCGCAGGCGGCUUGUCUAGUCCGAGGUGAAAUCUCCCGGCUCAACUGGGAGGGUGCCUCGGAAACUGGCAGGCUUGAGGCAGGGAGAGGGAUGUGGAAUUCCAGGUGUAGUGGUGAAAUGCGUAGAUAUCAAGUGGAACACCAGUGGCGAAGGCGAGUCCCUGGACAACUCCUGACACUGAGGCACGAAAGCUAGGGGAGCAAACGGG